CGGAAAUUAGCGCAGGGGUAGCGCGGCUGUUUUGGGAACAGUAGGUCACAUGUUCAAUUCUUGUAUUUCCGA